UACAGAGGGGGCCGAGCGUUAUUCGGAAUUAUUGGGCGUAAAGGGCGCGUAGGCGGCCAUGCGUGUCUUUCGUGAAAUCCCUCGGCUUAACUGAGGACGUGCGGAAGAAACUGCAAGGCUUGAGUCCGGGAGAGGGGGGUGGAAUUCCCAGUGUAGCGGUGAAAUGCGUAGAUAUUGGGAGGAACACCGGUGGCGAAGGCGGCCCCCUGGACCAACACUGACGCUGAGUGAGCGAAAGCCAGGGGAGCAAACGGG
rnacentral:rRNA from 1 species